rnacentral:tRNA from 1 species
UCCCGGCUAGCUCAGUCGGUAGAGCGACAGACUCUUAAGAAGUCUAGGACGACAGUCCAUCUGUAGGUCGAGGGUUCGAGCCCCUCGUUGGGAG